AGGAAACAACGCAGGAAAGUUUCAACAGUAUGAAGAACACAGAUGAUGCAACAGAGAAAACAAAACCUGAGAUUCUGGAGACCGAAAACUUGUCUUCUGUCAGUGACAACACACAAGACAAAUCAUUAAAGGUAAGUGAAUGUUUCUUUGGUCUCAUCAUCCUAUUCUUUUGCAUAACUAAAUGACACAAACUCUUCCAAGUCACAAGAAAAUUCCUCCAAACAAAUAAUAUUUAUCUUCAUUUUUGCAGCAAAAAGAUGAAGUUCCAAACCAGCAGAAAGAUGAUGAUGUUCCAAAGGUAGAGAAUCUAAAGAUUGCAGAAGAAUUGCAGCAAAAAGAUGGAGAAUUUGACAAAAACAAAGAACCUGAACCAACAGUGAAAGAACCGGCAAGGAAAUCAUUAUCUGACCUCAUCCAAAAAGUGAAAGGAACAAGCAAUAUUGAAGAUAAUACAACAAAACCACAUAUCGAAGAAGAUCCCAAAACAGAGGAAGAAGAUGAGGAUGAAGAUGAGCAUAAAGAUGAUAAAACAAGUCCAGAUUCUAUUGUGAUGGUUGAAGCUAAAGAUACUGUUAGCAUUACCAAAACCAAUAACAAGAAAUCACA
rnacentral:lncRNA from 1 species